GUUAGGGUUGGAAUAGUUUAUCGUUUAUUUUUUCUUCUUCCAAAGAUGAGGAGAAACGAAGAUCAGCAAUCUAGGGUUUUUUACGAGCUCUACGCUCUCAUUCUCAACAUCCUUCGCUCUCCUCUUUCGAUCCCUUUCUCCACCCCUUUUUGGCCAUGGCACCACCCGUCCCACCCUUAAGACGAGCAUCGACCUAGCAGGUAUCGCCGGCCAUGUUCGUUUGCUUCUUGGGAUUUCACUUGCUUUGAUGCUCUGUGGUUCCGUUACUUUCGUGAUUGGAUUUAUCUUACUGCCUUGGGUUCUCGGACUGGUCAUGCUUUUCUACUUUGUUAGGAUCAUUUCCAAUAUCUCAUUGUUGGGUCGCUCGAUUCUUUGUCCCACUGCCACAUCUGCCUCGUCCGGGAAGGAGAUGCCUAAAUGGAACUUUUCUUG